AUUGAACGCUGGCGGCAUGCCUUACACAUGCAAGUCGAACGGCAGCGCGGGGCAACCUGGCGGCGAGUGGCGAACGGGUGAGUAAUAUAUCGGAACAUACCCUAGAGUGGGGGAUAACGUAGCGAAAGUUACGCUAAUACCGCAUACGCACUAAGGUGGAAAGUGGGGGAUCUUCGGACCUCAUGCUCAUGGAGUGGCCGAUAUCUGAUUAGCUAGUUGGUGAGGUAAAGGCUCACCAAGGCGACGAUCAGUAGCUGGUUUGAGAGAACGACCAGCCACACUGGAACUGAGACACGGUCCAGACUCCUACGGGAGGCAGCAGUGGGGAAUUUUGGGACAAUGGGGACAACCCUGAUCCAGCAAUGCCGCGUGAGUGAAGAAGGCUCGGUGUAAGCUCUUUGUCUAGGGAAGAAACGGUAGGA
rnacentral:rRNA from 1 species